AAUGGGGGAUAACGUAGCGAAAGUUACGCUAAUACCGCAUAUGCCCUGAGGGGGAAAGUGGGGGAUCGCAAGACCUCACGUUUUCGGAGCGGCCGAUAUCAGAUUAGCUAGUUGGUGGGGUAAAGGCCUACCAAGGCGACGAUCUGUAGCUGGUCUGAGAGGACGACCAGCCACACUGGGACUGAGACACGGCCCAGACUCCUACGGGAGGCAGCAGUGGGGAAUUUUGGACAAUGGGGGCAACCCUGAUCCAGCCAUGCCGCGUGAGUGAAGAAGGCCUUCGGGUUGUAAAGCUCUUUCGGACGGAAAGAAAUCGCACGGGCCAAUAUCCCGUGUGGAUGACGGUACCGUAAGAAGAAGCACCGGCUAACUACGUGCCAGCAGCCGCGGUAAUACGUAGGGUGCGAGCGUUAAUCGGAAUUACUGGGCGUAAAGCGUGCGCAGGCGGUUUAUUAAGACAGAUGUGAAAUCCCCGGGCUUAACCUGGGAACUGCAUUUGUGACUGGUAGGCUAGAGUGUAGCAGAGGGGGGUAGAAUUCCA
rnacentral:rRNA from 1 species